AGUUUCAGGAACUUUCCCAGAAUUAAGGUUCCUUGAGUGCAUUUCCACACAAGGGUCAAAUCCACAUCAACAUCACAGAUUUCAAAGGUCUUUGCAAAUCUGGACAGCAAAGCCAGUUCUUCAUUGGUAUGAACCCUCCCGUGCUUCCUGAUUAUCAUCUGCUACAAACUACAAAUAACAAAGAACCGGUAUGCAGUUGAAAGUUUUCCAAAAAAACUGGGUGAAUAAAAUUGCUGUUAAAGGCGCUAACACAAUCAGUCCAUUCCCGACAGCAGCAGAGGUUUGCACACAAGAAGGUCCUGGACUUUGAAUCUUCUGGAGGUCUUUGUGAUUCUAAAUUGGCCAAAGAUGUUAAAAAGAUAAAGAGUUGUGAGAUCAUUAAAGCUUCACACAUUGACCGCAUCCACUCAUCAUCCUGUCAGUCACUCAGCCCCGCCCCGCUGCUCUUUGCCACAGAGGUGAAUGAUGGGAGGUGGAGGAGUCGUUAGCGGCCA
ensembl:lncRNA